AAAAACGUUUAUUUCUAUUUUUAAAUCGUGCCCUCACAUUCUGUCAACUUUCGUCUGUCUAUGAUCCGGAACCAGCCAGGCGCCGUGGGGGUCUGGGGGUCAGCCGUGACUGACGACCCCUCCACUUCCCACCGCUGGUCGAGGCGACGGUUGGACGGUUGGACGGUUGGGGCUGCGGUCCCCAGCUCACUGCCUCCGCUCCCGUCCCGGGGAGGUGCGCGGGGCCCCCCCCCAUGUAGACUGCUGCGUGCACGUCCAGCGAGUCUACGGUGAGGUCGUACGGGUCCAUGUGGAGCUUGUUGAAGACUUCCUUGAGAGUGAUUUUCUGACCGCCUUUCUCCACAACCACUCGAUCUGCCUCUGUAUGAAAUGAAAUGAGGAACAGUCGUGCCCUCCAGUUCAGAGACUUGGAGACUGCACUAAGGACAAGGAGCACCGAAGCUGCUCAGAUGUCCAGUGGUAGCUCAGUGUCUUGUCAAGACACUAAAUCAUUGUCACUCGUCUGUGCGUUUCAACAGUCCCUUAUGAUCACUAGCCCUGGAUGGUGACCCAAAAUAAAUGGUUUUACAUAGAGGCGCAGACAUUUUUUUUUUCAGUUGUAGGAUGUUAAACAGGGCCUGGAGCUUGGAGACCAAAAAGCCAUCUGAGGUGCUCCAGGUAUCUGCCUCAUGCCUCCAUGUGGGAACUCAAGUUGAGGGAGAUCCUUUUGUUCUAACUGUUGCAGGCUUGCCAUAAAUUAGGGGGGAAUU